GAUGAACGCUGGCGGCGUGCCUAAUACAUGCCAGUCGAGCGAACAGACGAGGAGCUUGCUUCUCUGAUGUUAGCGGCGGACGGGUGAGUAACACGUGGAUAACCUACCUAUAAGACUGGGAUAACUUCGGGAAACCGGAGCUAAUACCGGAUAAUAUUUUGAACCGCAUGGUUCAAUAGUGAAAGACGGUUUUGCUGUCACUUAUAGAUGGAUCCGCGCUGCAUUAGCUAGUUGGUAAGGUAACGGCUUACCAAGGCAACGAUGCAUAGCCGACCUGAGAGGGUGAUCGGCCACACUGGAACUGAGACACGGUCCAGACUCCUACGGGAGGCAGCAGUAGGGAAUCUUCCGCAAUGGGCGAAAGCCUGACGGAGCAACGCCGCGUGAGUGAUGAAGGUCUUCGGAUCGUAAAACUCUGUUAUUAGGGAAGAACAAAUGUGUAAGUAACUAUGCACAUCUUGACGGUACCUAAUCAGAAAGCCACGGCUAACUACGUG
rnacentral:rRNA from 1 species